UCCCGGCUUUCCGGACCUGCCGAAUUGUGUUCCCGCGGGGGUUCGUUGGGGCGCGCGAUCCAGUUGACUUACUCGGAGGCGCAAGAUCCCGCGAGAGCAGGAGCUUGACCAUUUUUACUAAGGCGGGAGCUGUGGCUUAGCUGUUGGAGAAAGGUGGCUGCAGUUACCAAGAGUGAAGACACCUGGAAAGAAGUUGUCGUCCCUAAGAGUGUCUUCUGGAAGGCUGCUGGUCUGCGAUGGAGAAAACUGAGACUCAAAGAGAUUUAUUUUCCUUCCCAACACAAUAGUAAAAUGGGCAGAAAUGAAAGGAGCCUGCAGGUUGAACCCAGUCUCUUUUAGGUUUAAGAUGACUACAAAAUUAUCAUGUGAUUAAUGGGACAUUCCCAGUGUAUUUGUGGAAGAGAAUUGGUCCUGUUGAAUACUGGACAUCAGAGAUAACUGAGUUUCCCCCAGCAAAGGGGAUGGCCACACCAUGACUCAAUAAGCAACUCUGCAGCUGCUCCUGCGAAUCACUCCGUUUCACCAUCAGUCCCCUGGCCCCAUGAGAGGAGAGCCUACAUGAAUGUCAUCACCUUGCCAGAAAAUUCUGGGUCAGAGCCAGCCAAGGAGAGCCUUCCAGAGGCAGACAAGAACCCUCAGCUACUCUCACUUUUUACCUAGCUGGAGGUUCCGUCCAGAGGCCCGCCUGGGAAACCUCUCCACUACAAGAUGUUCAAGUGGGCCACAUACCUGGCUUGACCAAUACGCACGGCAGAUGAGUAACAAGUGCGUUUAUAGAUUUCGUGGUGCUCCAGCUGUCGCUGAUGAGGAAGCCUUUGUCCUGGGAGUCUGUCGGCCAAGAGAUGUGUCUGCUGAGAGAACUGUGCUUGAAGAGUAAAUGGAGGUGAGGAGGAAGCUUGCUGGCUUACAUACAAGUAUUCAGCAAGUGGAUGGAUCCAAGAGCUGAGUGAUUUACAGAUGAAGAAACAGGCUCAAAAAAUCCAAGUCACACAAUCCAUAAUAGGUGGCAAAGCCCGUAUCCAAAGGUUUGUCCCACCACUGGAAGCAGAGACCAUGCAUAUACAUCUGUAUAUUCACAGCCAUUGAGCAUGGCACCUGCCAUACCAUAUUUAAGAUCAGAAUUAAAGAAUAUAUGAAUGAA